rnacentral:rRNA from 1 species
CACCGCCCGUCACACAUGGGAGUUGAUUGCACCAGAAGCAGGUAGCCUAACCGCAAGGAGGGCGCCUACCACGGUGUGUUCAAUGACUGGGGUG